rnacentral:rRNA from 1 species
GUCUAUGGCCAUACCACCCUGCACACAUUGAAUCUUGUCUGCUCUCAGAAGCUAAAGCGGGGUUGGGCCUGGUUACUUACUAUUUGGUUGGCAGACUGCCUGGGAGUAUCGGGUGCUGUAGGGU